UACGUAGGGGGCAAGCGCUGUCCGGAUUUAUUGGGCGUAAAGAGCGUGUAGGCGGCCAGGUAGGUCAGCUGUGAAAACUCGAGGCUCAACCUCGAGACGUCGGUUGAAACCACCUGGCUAGAGUCCGGAAGAGGAGAGUGGAAUUCCUGGUGUAGCGGUGAAAUGCGCAGAUAUCAGGAAGAACACCCGUGGCGAAGGCGGCUCUCUGGGACGGUACUGACGCUGAGACGCGAAAGCGUGGGGAGCGAACAGG
rnacentral:rRNA from 1 species